rnacentral:rRNA from 1 species
AUUGAACGCUGGCGGCAGGCCUAACACAUGCAAGUCGAGCGGAUGAAGGGAGCUUGCUCCUGGAUUCAGCGGCGGACGGGUGAGUAAUGCCUAGGAAUCUGCCUGGUCGUGGGGGAUAACGUCCGGAAACGGGCGCUAAUACCGCAUACGUUCUGAGGGAGAAAGUGGGGGAUCUUUGGACCUCACGCUAUCAGAUGUGCCUAGGUCGGAUUAGCUAGUUGGUGGGGUAAAGGCCUACCAAGGCGACGAUCCGUAACUGGUCUGAGAGGAUGAUCAGUCACACUGGAACUGAGACACGGUCCAGACUCCUACGGGAGGCAGCAGUGGGGAAUAUUGGACAAUGGGCGAAAGCCUGAUCCAGCCAUGCCGCGUGUGUGAAGAAGGUCUUCGGAUUGUAAAGCACUUUAAGUUGGGAGGAAGGGCAGUAAGUUAAUACCUUGCUGUUUUGACGUUACCAACAGAAUAAGCACCGGCUAACUUCGUG